rnacentral:rRNA from 1 species
GAUGAACGCUGGCGGCGUGCCUAAUACAUGCAAGUCGAGCGAACAGACGAGGAGCUUGCUCCUCUGACGUUAGCGGCGGACGGGUGAGUAACAAGUCGUUAAUCUCCCUAUCCGACUGGGAUAACUUCGGGAAACCGGAGCUAAUACCGGAUAAUAUAUUGAACCGCAUGGUUCAAUAGUGAAAGACGGUUUUGCUGUCACUUAUAGAUGGAUCCGCGCCGCAUUAGCUAGUUGGUAAGGUAACGGCUUACCAAGGCAACGAUGCGUAGCCGACCUGAGAGGGUGAUCGGCCACACUGGAACGGAGACACGGUCCAGACGCCUACGGGAGGCAGCAGUAGGGAAUCGUCCGCAAUGGGCGAAAGCCGGACGGAGCAACGCCGCGUGAGUGAUGAAGGUCUUCUGAUCGUAAAACUCUGUUAUUAGGGAAGAACAAAUGUGUAAGUAACUAUGCGCGUCUUGACGGUACCUAAUCAGAAAGCCACGGCUAACUACGUG